UGAUGUCCGCAUAUGGGACGGGUUCUAUGAUGUCCGCAUAUGGGACGGGUUCUAUGAUGUCCGCAUAUGGGACGGGUUCUGUAAUGCGCACGCUACUCGGCGUAACCGCAGAUUUGCAGCGAGGUCGACGGUGACCAUUACUGCUUAGCAGUUCUUGAAAGAUAAAGGUAAUUAUGCAUCGUAAAUUAAUUUACAGAUCUAAUGCAUGAUUUCAAAAAC
rnacentral:lncRNA from 1 species